CCGGGAAACCGGGAUUAAUACCGCAUAAAAUCGUAGAAACACAUGUUUCAACGGUCAAAGAUUUAUCGGUCAUAGAUGGGCUCGCGUCUGAUUAGCUAGUUGGUGAGAUAACAGCCCACCAAGGCGACGAUCAGUAGCCGGUCUGAGAGGAUGAACGGCCACAUUGGAACUGAGACACGGUCCAA
rnacentral:rRNA from 1 species